rnacentral:rRNA from 1 species
CCUACGGGUGGCUGCAGUGGGGAAUAUUGGACAAUGGGCAAAAGCCUGAUCCAGCCAUGCCGCGUGUGUGAAGAAGGCCUUCGGGUUGUAAAGCACUUUCAGUGGGGAAGAAAGCCUUGGGGCUAAUACCCUCGAGGAAGGACAUCACCCACAGAAGAAGCACCGGCUAACUCCGUGCCAGCAGCCGCGGUAAUACGGAGGGUGCGAGCGUUAAUCGGAAUUACUGGGCGUAAAGCGCGCGUAGGCGGUCUGAUAAGCCGGUUGUGAAAGCCCCGGGCUCAACCUGGGAACGGCAUCCGGAACUGUCAGGCUAGAGUGCAGGAGAGGAAGGUAGAAUUCCCGGUGUAGCGGUGAAAUGCGUAGAGAUCGGGAGGAAUACCAGUGGCGAAGGCGGCCUUCUGGACUGACACUGACGCUGAGGUGCGAAAGCGUGGGUAGCAAACAGGAUUAGAUACCCGAGUAGUC